rnacentral:rRNA from 1 species
GUUGUAUGGUUAAGUGACUAAGCGUACAAGGUGGAUGCCUGGGCAGUCAGAGGCGAUGAAGGACGUACUAACUUGCGAUAAGCGUAGAUGAGGCAGUAAGAGCCACUUGAGUCUACGAUUUCCGAAUGGGGAAACCCAGCUGCAUAAGCAGUUAUCUCAAUGUGAAUUCAUAGCAUUGUGAGGCGAACCGGGGGAACUGAAACAUCUAAGUACCCCGAGGAAGAGAAAUCAACCGAGAUUCCGGCAGUAGCGGCGAGCGAAACCGGAUUAGCCCUUAAGCUAAUCUUGCGUUAGGUGAACAUGCUGGAAAGCAUGGCAA